AUAUCAAUAAGCGGAGGAAAAGAAACCAACAGGGAUUGCCUCAGUAACGGCGAGUGAAGCGGCAAAAGCUCAAAUUUGAAAUCUGGCACCCUCGGUGCCCGAGUUGUAAUUUGAAGAUAGUUUUCUGGCACUGGCCCUUGUCUAUGUUCCUUGGAACAGGACGUCACAGAGGGUGAGAAUCCCGUCUGGCGGGGAGUCCAGUGCUUUGUAGAUUUCUAUCGACGAGUCGAGUUGUUUGGGAAUGCAGCUCUAAGUGGGUGGUAAAUUCCAUCUAAAGCUAAAUAUUGGCGAGAGACCGAUAGCGAACAAGUACAGUGAUGGAAAGAUGAAAAGAACUUUGAAAAGAGAGUGAAAAAGUACGUGAAAUUGUUGAAAGGGAAGGGUAUUCGAUCAGACUUGGUGUUUUGUGAUUAUCUUCCCUUCUUGGGUUGUGCACUCGCAUUUCACUGGGCCAGCAUCGGUUCGGGUGGCAAGAUAAUGACAUUGGAACGUGGCACCUUCUUCGGAUGGUGUGUUAUAGCCCUUGUUGAUGUUGCCUGCCUGGACCGAGGACUGCGGCUUCUGCCUAGGAUGCUGGCGUAAUGAUCCAAUACCG
rnacentral:rRNA from 1 species